GAAGUUUAGGUCUCUUGUAAGAGUUGUCGGGAAUCAUACAAUUUAGCGGAAUCUUACAACUAAUAUAUCCACGAAUGAUUUCUUUAGGAAUAACGUACAAGCAUCGCCUAUUGCAGUCAAAUUGCAAAAUCUUAUUCGAAACUCAAGUUUAAUUACAUGCAUUAAUUCUUUAUACUCGUGAUACUGAGAGUUAUUAAUUAAUAAAUGAUGUAUGGAAUCUCACUAAGUUCAUUUGAUCUUAUGAGUGGUCUGCCUUAAAUGCAAGAUCAAAGGCUGUUAUAGAAUAUCUAGGAAGGAACCAAGCCAGACCUCGCAGAAUACAAGUGGACUUCUUUGAUGCAGUGAACAUAUAUAAAUAUGCCCUUAGAGGCUACGCCUCAAGGAUUGAAUAUGUAACUAAACAUAAUCUAAUUCGUCAAAUUACGUGUAUAAGUAUAUUUAGUAGAUUGGUAUGUUUGUAAAGAACCUUAAUCUGCUUAGUUAGUAAAUUGUAUAAUAAAAAAGUUCUAUAUGAUGUUCAUUUAUGGAAAUGUUAUGGCUAGUUAAUUAAUUGGAUUAAAGUUGUAUGAGAACGUAUUAUUGAAUCUGGCAUAAAAUUAAAUAAAUUGGAAAUAUAUUGUUAAGUAAUACGGUUUAAUUGUGGCAUUUGGUACCCAGACCCAACAAUUGGGUCAGGUAUAGGGUGUUACAUACUGUGAUUUUCCUCGCCAAGUUUUUCUAACUAGAUUUAUAGCUUUAUUUUUAUCUUAUUUCCCAAUACCUCAGAAAAGACCAAUAUCAAUUGUGUUCCACCUUCCUUAUUUGGGUGUACGAAUAUUGAAGUUCUGUGUUAACCUUGAGGGGCAACGACCACUACACGGUUACACUGACCAGGGUGAAUUUGCUUCUGUUGCAAUGGUUCUUCCACGACACAGUGCUUCUUUCUUUUAUUUACACUUGGCUUAUUUUCCAGUCAGUGCUAACUAUUUUGUUUUGUACUCGUAUUUUUCCAACAUACUCGACUACCCCCUCUUUUUAUGCUGGAACUUAAGUUUCUCAAAUGUAGCAGGUAAAUGUUUAGCAUCCCAAAUAUAUGCACUAAUCUCUAAAUAAUCCACCUUAUUUGACCUUAAUCAAUUAAAUGCGAUCGAAAAAUCUCCUUCAAGCUCAACAGAGAAAAAGCCCAUCUCCACCGCAAACUGGAUCACCAAAAUUGUACCACCCCUUACCCAUGUUCAACACCGGAAUAGGGUACGAGGCAUUAUCAAAGUUUACCGAAUUAAUUUUUUGUUAUUACGAGUUAAAUACUAUUCAUUUAGCAAAACAUGUCAUGACAUCCUUUAGAUGGGCCUUCAAAGCCCAAAACAUACUUCGGGACCAAACCGGGAUUAAAUCGAAACCAUAGGGAAUUUUUUACAAAAUUUCAAAUUUUUUUAUAAGCUCAAUAUAACCCCUUUAUAAAUAUCAAACCUUCCCUGCAAUUUUAAAACCGAGACCAAUUCAAACCAACCAAUCCAUUUCAACUAAUUUGACACCAAAUCAUACUUCUAUUAUAAUUAUACCAUUUAGCAUAUUCAUCACUCUUUACUUUAAUACGUAUUCAUUAAACAAGUCUUAGCAUUUAUUUAAUCAUCAAACCAUAUACAUGCCAUAUAAAUUAAAAAGGAAAUUUAAAAAAGCUACCGGAGAUAAUCUGGAUAAUGUGAUCCUCAGUGUUGAUCUGAUCCUCCGUAUAUUUUUACGUCAAUCUACAAGAGACAUUGAAUACACUCAAGUAAGCUUAUAGAAGCUUAGUAAGUUCAUAGGCAUAAAACAUAAAUCUUACCAAACAUUCAUACACUUAUACAAUAUACACAAUUACUAAGUUCACCUGUCAACCACAAUCAUUGGUGAGUUCCCUUGUAUAAACUCACUACCACUUAUCCACUUACUUUAAUUCUUUUAGGGCCCUUUGCCACUUACCAUUCUUUAUCAAAUUAGGAACAGUUGCGGAAAAUUGAGUACUUCACUUCCACUUUGCCAUAGUAUAACUAUGGUCUUGUGUAUCAUCACUUAUCACUUUCCGAAGCCAUAGUCCUGCCACGGUCUUACACAGAUCACAUUUAUCACUUGUCACUUGUCAUUGAUCAGAUAAGUGUAGCUAAAGCUACCACUUAUCACUUGUCACUUGUCACUGAUCAAAUAAGUGUAGCUGAGGCUACCACUUAUCACUUGUCACUAAUCAGAAGUACCCAAAUCCGACGUUUCACUUAAUUUGAUCAUUUAUUCGAUUUUCACAUUGUUAUUUUAUUCUCAAUUCAUCAAUAAAUAUAUCUCAUCAUACAUUAUAUAAUUCAUAAAAUUAACAUUUAAUCAUUAAAUUUCAACCAUAUGAACUUACCUGGGUCGAUUUACAAAAUUUGUGAAAGUUCAGGGACUAAUCAACUACUUUUUCCUUUCCUCGACUUGCUUCGGGUUCUCGAUCUAUCAUUGUAAAAUCAUUCACUUAUGUAUUGAGUUCACCUUCACUCUAUUUCACAUUCUUAAUGUUUAUAACCAACUUAUAAGUAACAUUAUCUAUAAUUUCACUAUUUACUUAUGUAUAUUCAAUGUUGUCCAUUCGUGUCAUAGUCACUAAAUUAUUUUUAUCUUGAGCUACAGAACUCCAAAUUAGGAUUCGCUAAUUUUUCUUGAGACUAGACUCAUAUAUCUUCUUACCAUAAAACUUUCAGAAUUUUUGGUUUAGCGAAUAAGUACAUUUUAUUCUUUAAAGUCACCCCUAUUCUAUUUUCUGAUAGUUCCGACCCUGCUUCACUAAAAAUUAAUUAUCUCCUCGUACGGAAUUCAGAUGAUGUUUCUGUUUAUUUCUCUUCAAAAUAUACUUAUUCAGGAUUUUAAACAUAUAAAUUUAAUCCCAUAGUUAUUUUUCUCAAUUUUUUUAUGGUUUCCCAAAAUCAAAACAGGGGAACCCGAAAUAAUUCUAACCUUAUCUCACAAAAUUUAUUAUAUCUCAUGAUUUACAAUUCCAUUUCUUACACCAUUUCUUCUAUAAGAAACUAGACUCAAUAAGAUUUAAUUUUAUAUUUUAUUCAUCCUCUAAUUCGAUUUCUAAAAUUUUUGGUGAUUUUUCAAAGUUAGACUACUGCUGCCUCGAAAACUGUUUUAGUGUAAAAUGUUGAUUUCCAUUUUGCCCCAAAUUUCACAGUUCAUACAAUUCAGUCCUUACUCAAUUAACCCCUCAAUUAAUCUAAUUUUUCUAAAUUAAUACUUUACCUAGACAUUAUAAGUUAUUUCACAACUAUUGAAAUUCAUAAUUUUCACAAAAAACCCUAACUUCAAACUCUUUUACAAUUAGGUCCCAAACAUUCACUUUCUAUUCAAUUCUUUCAAUAAAAUCAGCAUAUAAACAAUUUAAAACUCUAAUACCAUGCUAAAGCAUCAUAUACUUCCAGAACAUAUUCAUAGAAACUUUCAAUUUCUUUCAUAGAAUCAAAAAAUAAUGAAUUCAACAAGUAGACCUAGUUGUAAAAGUCACAAAAACACAAAAAUUUCAAUAAAUAAUCAAGAAUUGAAUUUACUUGCAGCAAAAAUAUGAAAAACCAGCUUAAAGAAACCCUUCUAUGGUGUUUUCACUAAUGAGAAUGUAGAAAAAUAAAGUGAAAUCUAGAUAAUUCCACUUUAGUCCUAGCUUUAUUAAGUAAAUUUUGCAAUAUUCCAAUUUUGCCCUUAAUUCCCCUUAUUUUCUUGUUGAUUUCAUGCCCUUGUCAUCCAGACCAAAUAGAUCUUGGGUUUAUUUGCCUUUUAAACCCUCUUUAUUUUAUCAUUUAAGCUAUUUAAUCAUUUUCCAUAAUUUUGCAUUUGUUACAAUUUAGUCCUUUUUGUUUAAUUAACUAUCAGAACUUUAAAAGUUUUUGACGAAACUUUAAUACUAACAUAUUAACACUCCAUAAAUAUUUAUAAAAAUAUUUAUGGCUAUGUUUAAAAUUUUCGAGGUCUCUUUGAUUCUAAUUAUUUUAAUAUUUAUUUCUAGUACACUAUUCACUAUUUCAAAAAUUUUCCUAACUUCACAUUUAACUUAUACUCACUAAAUUAAUAAUAUUUUCUACUCAUUUGUCAAAUUUAGUGAUCUUAAAUCACUGUUCCAAUACCAGUGAAAAUUCAGGCCAUUACAACUCUUCCCCCCUUUUAGGAAAUUUCGUACCUGUAAAUAUAUUUGGAUACUGAAGUCCCAUCAAUUCCUCCAUCUCCCAGGCUGCCUCCUCCUAUCCAUGUCGAUUCCAUAACACUUUAACUAGUGGUACACAUUUAUUCCUCAACUCUUUAACUUCCCGAGCUAGAAUUUUCACUGGUUCUUCUGAAUAAGUCAUGUCGGGUUAGAGCUCUAUCUCCGUAUGAGAAAUUACAUGUGAUGGAUCCGAUCUGUACCGUCUCAACAUAGACACAUGAAACACGUUAUGAAUCUUUUCAAGCUCCGGGGGCAAAGCCAAUCUAUAAGCUACCGGACCGAUUCUUUCAAUGAUUUCAUACGGCCCGAUAAAUCGUGGGUUGAGUUUUCCCUUUCUGCUGAACCGCAAAACUUUCUUCCAUGGUGGCACUUUCAAAAAUACACGAUCACCCACAUUAAACUUUAUAUCCCUUCUCUUCAAAUCUGCAUAUGAUUUUUGCCAAUCGGAGGCAGCUUUUAAACAAUCUCGAAUAAUACGAACUUUUUCUUCGAUUUCCCGAAUCAAGUCCACUUCCACUAGUUUCGGUUCACUUAAUUCAAACCAAUAUAAUGAGGUUCUACACUUUCUUCCAUAAAGAGCUUCAAAUGGUGCCAUUUUAUUACUAUUUUGAUAACUAUUAUUAUAAGAAAAUUCGGCUAAAGGUAAAUACCUUUCCCAGCUACUGCCGAACUCAAGUAUACAACACCUUAACAUAUCUUCUAAAAUCUGAAUCACUCGCUCUGACUGCCCAUCUGUCUGAGGAUGAAAUGAUGUGCUGAAAUUUAAUUUGGUGCCCAAAGCUUCGUGUAAUUUACCCCAAAAUCUCGAGGUAAAUCUUGAAUCUCGAUCUGAAAUAAUAGAUGCCGGUACCCCAUGUAACCUCGCUAUCUCUGACACGUAUAACUCCGCUAACUUUUUAAGCGGAUAAUUUGCUUUAACUAGAAUAAAAUAUGUUGAUUUAGUUAACUGAUCAACAAUCACCCAGAUCGAAUCUUUCUUCUUCAAAGUUACUGGUAAUCCGGAUACAAAAUCUAUCAUGGCAUGUUCCCAUUUCCACUCUAGAAUUAUAAUGGGCUGUAAUAACCCUGUCGGCACUUGAUGCUCAGCUUUCACCUGCUGAAAAAUCAAACAUCUUGCUACAUACUCAUAGAUUUCCCGUUUCAUUCUGGGCCACCAAUACAUUUUCUUUAAAUCACAAUACAUUUUCGUACUAUCCGGGUGAACAGAAUACAUACUACUGUGAGCCUCUAAUAAGAUAUCAUUUUUCAAGUCUAAGUUAUUCAGGACACAUAUUCUAUUACGAUAGUAUAACAUACCAUUUUCAUCAAUGGAGUAUUCCGAGCUUAACUCAUCUUGAACCAUUUGUCGUUUCGACAUCAAUUUUGGAUCUUCAUCUUAUAACUCUCGAAUCCGUUGAAAGAACACAAGUUUAGCUUUUAAUUCUACUAGUACAGAACCAUCUUCAUUAAUAGAUAGUGAUUGUUAAAUACCUGUAAAGCAAAUAAUAGUGAUUUCUGACUAAGUGCAUCUGCUACAACAUUUGCUUUCCCCAGGUGAUAGUCAAUGACAAGAUCAUAAUCUUUCAGCAACUCUAACCAUCGUCUCUGUCUUAGAUUUAACUCUUUCUGAAUCAUUAAAUAUUUCAAGCUUUUAUGACUAGUAUACACGUUACAUUUCUCACUAUAUAAAUAGUGUCUCCAUAUCUUCAAAGCAAACACGAUCGCUGCCAAUUCCAAAUCAUGUGUAGGAUAAUUCUUCUAGUGUCGUUUCAGUUGUCAAGAAGCAUAUGCCACCACUUUGCCUGACUGCAUAAGUACACAACCCAAACCAUUUAGAGAUGCAUUACUAUAUACCACAAACGGUACACCCAAUUCUGGUUGAGUCAACACUAGACCCUCUGUCAACAUUUUUUUCAACUGAUUGAAACUCUACUAACAUUCAUCUAACCACAUAAAUUCAACGGUAAGGUAAUCAUUGAGAAAUCUUUGAAAAAUCGGCGAUAAUAACCUGCCAAUCCUAGAAAACUCCGUACUUCAGUAACAUUCUUCGGAACUUUCCAAUUUACCACUGCCGCUACCUUACUUGGAUCCACUCUAAUUCUAUCAGCUGAUACAAUAUGACCCAAAAACACAACUUCAUGGAGCCAAAAUUCACAUUUGCUGAAUUUCGCAUAAGAUUGUUUCUCCCGUAAAAUCUAUAAUACAAUCCUUAAAUGUUAUGCAUGUUCGAACUUUUUCUUUGAAUAAAUCAAUAUAUCGUCAAUGAACACAACCAAAAAUCUAUCCAAAUAUGACUGAAAAAUUCGAUUCAUCAAAUUCAUAAAGGCAGCAGGAGCAUUGGUAAAACCAAAUGGCAUCACCAGAAAUUCAUAGUGACCAUAUCGGGUUCGAAAGGCAGUUUUCGGCACAUUACACUCUUUAACUUUCAACUGAUAAUACUCGGAUCGAAGGUCUAUCUUGGAAAAUACUGCAACACCUUUCAACUGAUCAAAUAGAUCAUCAAUACGAGGCAAAGGAUAUUUAUUCUUUACCGUUACCUUGUUCAACUGCCUAUAAUCUAUACACAGCCUUAAAAAUCGUCUUUCUUUUUCAUAAACAAGAUAGGUGUACCCUAGGGCGACAUACUCGGUCUGAUGAACCCUUUAUUUAAUAACUCAUGCAACUGCGUCUUCAGCUCUUUUAAUUUGUCUGGAGCCAUUAUGUAUGGUGUCACUGAGAUAGGAGUUGUUCCGGGAAUCACAUCAAUUACAAAUUCAACUUCUCUAUCAGGUGGUAAACCGGGUAACUCUUCAGGAAACACAUCAGGAAAUUCAUUCACCACUGGCACUUGUUCGAGCUUUAAAUCGGAACCCCGAGUAUUAAGAAUAUAGGCUAAGAAUGCCUCGUUGCCUUUGCGUAAUAACCUCUGAGCAGAGAGAACUGAAAUAAUUCUGACUGUAUCACCCAUAUUUUCAGACCAACUGAGAUUACGUCCCCUGUUUGACAUUUCAAAUUGAUCUAUUUAUCAUGACAAUUCACUACUGCAUCAUGUUUCAUUAACCAGUCCAUCCCCAGAAUAUUAUCAAAUUCCCGAAAGGUUAACAAUAUUAAACCAGCGGGGAAUUCAUAGCCUUUCACUUUCAAUGGACAAUUACGACAUAUCAAAUUAACUAUCACACUUUGACCUAAUGGAUUAGUGACUUGUAUAUCAAAAUCAGUAGACUCAAUAGAUAAUUUCUUUACAGAUGCUACCAUAGUACAAAUAUAUGAAUGAGUAGACCCAAGGUCUAUCAAUGCUUAAAUAGUAACAUCAUAAAGAUAGAAAGUACCAGCAAUUACAUCAGGAGCCAUAGCCUUUUCCCUUGCUCGAAUGGCGUAAGUAUGUGCUGGUUCUCUAUUCUUUGAUUGACUAAUUGAUUCUCUCGUACCCGAACAAGUAGCCCCUGUAGCACUGCUUUGGCCCGAACAUUUACUUCUUUGGGAAGUGGUUCUCUGUAUCUCUUUCUGUUCCACUUCAUCUUUUUGCAGCUAGGGACAAUCUCAAAUAAGAUGAUCAGUAGCCCCACAUUUAUAACAAGCCCCCAUCUUAGUCCUGCAUUCACCGAAAUGAUGUCUUCCACAAUAUUGACACUUAGGCCAAGGAGUAUUUUGAAAACUGCUCACACUUGCUGCAGGUCUAUCAAAUACCCUGAAAUCAGAUUGUCUUGAUCAACCCCUACCCGAUCUUUCUGGCAGUGAUGUAGUUCGACUAAUUUCUUCUCUAGAUUUCUUCACCGGUAAGUCUGAAAAUGAAUUAGAAGCUCCUCUUUUGAAUGACUCUUUACUUUUCUUAUCCCGUUUCAUUUUUCUGUUAUAUACUUCUUCGAGCUUUUGAGCACGAUCUGACAGAACAACGAACUCUCGUAUUUUAUUUCCCCCAAUCAUUAUUCUAAUCUCAUUAUUUAACCCUUCUUCAAAUCUGAUACACAUUUCUUCUUUAGUAGGUACAAUGUCUCGGGCAUAUUUACUGAAGUAGACAAAUUCUCUUUCAUAUUCAGCCACUGACUUAUUUCCCUGUCGUAGGUCGAGGAAUUCCCUUUUUAUUUUUAUCCAAAUACCGCCUGCCCACAUAUUUCUUCUUAAAUUCAUUUUGGAAAAUUCCCAAAAACUUUUCUCUACCAGUACCACGGCCUCAAUCAUUUCCCACCAACUAUAAGCUUCUUCUUUCAAUAGAGACACAACACCUCAAAUAAUCAUCUGGUGAACAAGCCAUUUCUUUAAAAAUUCUUAUCAAACUCUGUAACCAGUAUUCAGCUUUGACGUGGUCAUCAUCAAUCAUUCCCCAAAAUUCUUCGACUCCAAGUUUUCUAAGUCUUUCCAAUGGAGAACGCUUACUGGAUUCAGUCAUUGGAAGAGGUGAAGGAGGAACCAGGGGUACCACUGAUGGAGCAGUAAGGGGAGGAGGUGGCUGAGCCUGAUUUCUUUCUUGCAUCGCUUUAGUAUACCACUGAUUCAUAAUCCCAUAAAUCAUAUUCUUUAAUUCUUGCUCUCGCAUUAGGGAAAUCAGAACAUCACUGCUUGGUACUUGUUCAGAAAUAUGUAUUCUACUGUUAACUUCUUCCUGCUCAGUACGUUCAGGUCUAUCUAACAUCUUUAUAAUCGGAGAGUAUCUAUAAAAAUAACAAAGAUUAGAUCAGAUCAUACAUAUCACACUAUCACAGAUUUAUAUGGCAUGUAUUUCUAAACACUUUACACAUCACACAUGUUUAGAUAACCGGCUAAACUGGGCAUUGAUACUACUAAAUGUAACACCCCUUACCCAUGUUCAUCGUCGGAAUAGGGUACGAGGCAUUACCAAAGGUUACCAAAUUAAUUUUUCAUUAUUAAGAGUUAAAUACUAUUUAUUUACUGAAACAUUUCAUGACGUCCUUUAAAUGAGCCUUCAAAGCCCAAAACAUACUUCAAGACCAAACCAGGAUUAAAUCGAAACCAUAGGGAAUUUUUCGCAAAAUCCCAAAUUUUUUUUAUAAGCUCAAUAUAACCCCUUUAUAAAUAUCCAACCUUCCCUGCAAUUUUAAAACCGAGACCAAUCCAAACCAACCAAUCCAUUUCAACCAAUUUGAUACCAAAUCAUACUUCUAUUAUAAUUAUACCAUUUAGCAUAUUCAUCACCCUUUACUUUAAUACGUAUUCAUUAAACAAGUCUUAGCAUUUAUAUAAUCAUCAAACCAUAUACAUGCCAUAUAAAUUAAAAAGGAAAUUUACAAAAGCUACCGGAGAUAAUCUGGAUAGUGUAAUCCUCAGUGUUGAUCGAUCCUGUAACACCCUUCGCCCGUAUCCCUCGCCUGAACAGGGUUCGAGGUGUUACCCGACUUAAACUCAAUCAAUUACACAAAAACCGUGCCGUAAAAUUUCAACCAAUUUAAAACUACCGUGCCGUAAAAUUUCAACCAAUUUAAAAUUUUUCUUUUCACAUGCAAUCUGUCCCAUGUAUGGGCUUAUGAGGCCCAAAACAUACCUCUGGGGUGGUUCGGGACCCAACCGGAACUCAUGAAAAACUUAGAAAAUCUCUUGCAUCAAAGCUUCACACGCCAGUGUGGGUAUAGAGCACACGUCCGUGUGCUACUACCAUGCAUAUAAACUUGAAAAACUUAGGUGCAGGGGACACACGGUUGGACAACACGCCAUGGGGGCAGACCGUAUGCCACACACGGUCUAGACACACGCCCAUGUGUCUACCCGUGUGGACAAUUACAAGGCUAUUUUCCAAGCCAUUUGUCACCCUCACAACAUGUGCACAUAUACUUAUCCAAUAACAUACAACAUGGCAUAAAUGAGCUCUUAAACAUCUACAAACAUUAUGCUCAAGUCAUUUUUUUAUGCAAUAAAUACCAUAGAAUUUGCUUACAUCACAAGAGAUAGUAUCAUACAUAUAUAUGAAUAAACAUUUAGGUCCACAACAUCAUUAGCCAACAUAGGCCAAUUCACAUGGCCAAAACACUUUAUCAAUACAAGCCAACACCUUUGGUUAGAUUAUAAUAUCACAUACUCAACAUUAAAACCCUAUACAUGCCAUAGACUCAAAACACUAGGAUUUACUUACACCAAUAGCGUGAACUCGACAGUGUGAUAAUAUCUUGAUGGCCUCCAACCCGAGCAAACCUGGCAACCCUAGAGAACAUGGGAAAGAAGGGGGGUAAGCUUUACGCUUAGUAAUUUCUUAAGAAAACAAUUAGCAGCUCAUUUAUAUGUUUUAUCAAUGUUUACAACAUAUACUCAAGUUCACAACAAGCUAUCUUCCUGAGCAACAGUCACUAAAUUAUUUAAAACUGCAGCUAUGAAACUCCAAAUCAAUUGACGUUAAUUUUCCCUGAAAAUAGACUCAUAUAUCUUCUAUCCAUAAAAUUUUCAGAAUUUUUGGUUUGGCCAAUCAAUACCAGAUUUUUCUUAAAUUUUCCCUUGUUUCACAGUUUGACUAAUCUAACCACUCUUCACUAUGAGUCCAAUUUCUCAUUGUACAGAAUUCAAAAUAUGUUCUCGUUGAUUUCAUUUGAAACUAGACUCACUAAGGAGUCUAAGAAUAUAAAAAUUAUCUUAUAACCAUUUUUUUACAAAUUAUAAUGAUUUUCUAAAAACAGAACAAGGGACCCCGAAGUCAUUUGAUUCUAUCCCACGCCACUUCAAAUAUCUCAUUAUCAGCAAUUCUUUUGCUUAUAUGGUUUCUUUUAUAAGAAACUAGACUCAUUAAGAUUUAAUCACAUAAUUUAUUCAGCUUCUAACUCAACUCCGACAAUUUAUGGUGAUUUUCCAAAAUCAUGUUACUGCUGCUGUCUCAAGCAGAUUUAUUACAAAUUUACUCUUUCACACAUUCUUUGCAUUCAUAUUAUUUAAACAUGUAUAUCACCAAUCAAUUUCAUCACAUAUCUACUAUACUUUUACUUAAGCAUAAUCUCAAUACAAUACAUCAUGCUCAAUGAUUCGCACACAACCAUUCAAAUUAGAAAUUAUAAGGUGGUUCCGCACAUAGCCCACCCUUAUUGAUAAUUUACGAUGGUUUUACCCCUACUCACAUCUAUGACAUAGGCAUUUUCACCUAUGCUUCUCAAUUCACAUUCGUGAUUCAAUUCCAAUCGAUCUAACAUGCAUAAGUACAUAUCGCAUAUUUGGCCAACUUAAUGUAUUGAACGAAUUCAAUUUUCGAUUUAACACAAGGUCUCAUAGUUGAACAUAAACAUGAAACCAUUUCUCAUACGUUCGAUUCACAUCAAUCAUCAAAUUCAUUUAAUUCACAUGUACAUAGUUAGGUUGUUCGUACCUGAAUAAUUUACUUUACGGAAUGAAUCCACAUAUUGUAUUAGCCCAUAGUCUUAUAGCACCACACUUUUAAUAGUUCACUGGCAAUUUGCCUGUUAGGUAAUAACCUGAUUUCAUCACCGGCCAUAAGCCUGCUAGACUUUAAGUCUAAAUUCAUUCACCGGCAUUUCUCCUGCUAGGCUUGAAGCCCGAUAUCAUUUCACCAGCAUUAUAGACUGCUAGGCCCAAGGCCCAAUAUUAUCUCACUGGCAUUAUAGCCUGCUAGGCCCGAAGCCUGAUAUCAUUUCACCGGCAUUAUAGCCUGCUAGGCCCGAAGCUCGUAUAUCACAUUUCGAUAAACAAUUCACUUGUUCUUUCACACUUUCAUAACUUAUACUUCAAUUACGUAUAACUGAAACACAUACCUAUGAAUAAAGAUUUUCAUCCUUUCAACCACAUAGGGUUUAAUUUCCACAUUGGAACACAUAUCUUAGUACAUCAUUUAAUAGUAUCAAAGUCGAUUAGAUAUGCUAGUCACAUACGGGUCAUAACUUUAAUUUAAUAUUCAUUCAACACAAAGAAUAUAUGUAUAUAUAUACAUAUAUACAAUCAAACAUUUCUUAAUUAUGAUUAUUCAACUCUUAAGCAUAUAACAUGAUUAAACACAAACACUUAAGAACUUACAUUGGAUUUUAUCGAAUAACUACGGAUUGACUAAUCGACUAGUUUCGCUUUCCCUUUAUCCAAAAUUGGCUCCUUAUGCUCUUGAGCUUGAAUUAAACAAAUUUAACUUUUUGUUAAUCAACUAAUCAAGCAUUGUAUCAUGAGUAUAUUCGGCUUUCACACAUUUUAAACAUAGUAAUAAUCAUGCACAUUAAAAUCAAAGUGCAAUUAAUCCCAUACACAAAAAUAUACGACACUUCAUUUCCAUCUACUUAUAUACACGUAUCACAUAAGACCAUUUCAUACUUUCUAUCACCUAAAUAAACAACAAAUUUUCCAAUUAAUUUCUUAAGUCCACAUUCGGCAUCUAUAUCCACAAAAAAACAUUAGCCGAUUACUAUAAAUCAUCUAAACUUUUUUCACUUAAAUCACACAUACAUAUCAUGCUAGCACAUAACACCAUGAUUUUGUCCUAAUUUGGACAGCCAAUAAUUUACAGUAUUACAGCAGCAUAUUAAUUAGCUAAGCACCAUAAAUUUGUCCUAAUUUGGACAGCCAAUAAUUUACAGCAUUACAGCAGCAAAUUAAUUAGUAAUAAACUAUCUUAAGUUCAAUUUUAACUCCCUCAUGCAGUAACCGAACAACAUGCAAGUUAACUUUCAACAUUCGGUCAAAGCAUUUAAAUAAAAGAAUAUGCAUGCUAAAUUUCCAGCAUUUGGGCAACAUUUCAACUUGAAAUUUUUUCCAGCUUUUCACCUUCAAUAUUUCGAAUAUUCAAAAGCAAAAAGAAGAGUGCAACUAAUCAAUUAAAAUUUUUUAACAUAAUUCAAGGUAUAUGUUCAACUGAACAUUCAUGUUAACUCAUAAUCAAUAAGGUAUUAAGUAGAAAAUAAAAACAUUAUUAGCAUGCAUCCUAUCUACAUACAACAACCAUUCAACUUCCAUCUAUUAUCAACCCUCAAUACACAAAACAUCAAAAACAACAUCAAAGAAAUAUAAACAUCCAUGACCGAAUGUCAUCUUCAUCAAUUUACAAAAAUUUUGCCAUGAGCUAACUUCUAUACUUGAUGACCACUCCAAAUAUACAAAGAUUUUCAAUGAAGGAGCAUUAAAAAUACCUUAAUCUAUACAUUCCCCAUAGCCGAAUGCCUUAGCUUCAUUUUCUCUUCUUUUCUUUAUGGUUUUCGGCAAUAAUUGGGAGAAAGGAUGGGUGUAACUUUGUUUUUAUCACCAUUUUCUAUUAUAAAAAUUCAUAUUUCAUCCUAUUAAUCUAUUAAACAUUUAAUUCUUUAAUAUAAAAGACAUGAAAUGCCCAUCAUCCACUAACUAUUAUAAUGCUAAAAUAAAAUGCAUAUAUUAUUUGCACCAUACUUAAGUUAUAAUAUAAAAUGCACAUAUUGCUUAUCAUUCCCAUCAUGGCCGGCCACUACAACUAAAGUGGGAAGUUUGACAUGCAAAUCCUCCUAUUUUGCACUACAAUUUAUUUGGCCAUUACAAAUUAACCUAUCACAUUUUCAAGAAUUUUCUCGUAAGUCCUAUUUCAUAAUUUCACUCACAAAUGACAAAAUCAAAGCAUGAAAUUUUCACACAUGCACUUUCACAUAUAAUAAGCACAGAAUAUAACAUUUAAUUAUUUUUGUGACUCGGUUUUGUGGUCCCGAAACCACUUUUCGACUAGAGCCAAAUUAAGGCUGUCACAUAUCCUCCGUAUAUUUUUACGUCAAUCUACAAGAGACAUUGAAUACACUCAAGUAAGCUUAUAGAAGCUUAAUAAGUUCAUUGGCAUAAAACAUAAAUCUUACCAAACAUUCAUACACUUAUACAAUAUACACAAUUACUAAGUUCACCUAUCAACCACAAUCAUUGGUGAGUUCCCUUGUAUAAACUCACUACCACUUAUCCACUUACUUUAAUUCUUUUGGGGCCAUUUGCCACUUACCAUUCUUAAUCAAAUUAGGAACGGUUGCAAAAAAUUGAGUACUUCAUUUCCACUUUGCCAUAGUAUAACUAUGGUCUUGCGUAUGAUCACUUAUCACUUUCCAAAACCAUAGUCCUGCCACGGUCUUACACAGAUCACAUUUAUCACUUGUCACUUGUCACUGAUCAGAUAAGUGUAGCUAAAGCUACCACUUAUCACUUGUCACUUGUCACUGAUCAGAUAAGUGUAGCUGAGGCUACCACUUAUCACUUGUCACUGAUCAGAAGUACUCAAAUCUGACGUUCCACUCAAUUUGAUCAUUUUUUCGAUUUUUGCAUUGUUAUUUUAUUCUCAAUUCAUAAAAUAAAUAUAUCUUGUCAUAUAUUAUAUAAUUCAUAAAAUUAACAUUUAAUCAUUAAAUUUCAGCCAUAUGAACUUACCUGGGUCGAUUUGCAAAAUUUGUGAAAGUUCAAGGACUAAUCAGCUACUUUUUCUUUUCCUCGACUCACUUCAGGUUCUCGAUCUAUCAUUGUAAAAUCAUUCACUUAUUAGUAUUGACUUCACCUUCACUCUAUUUCACAUCCUUAAUGUUUCUAUCCUACUUAUAAGUAACAUUAUCUAUAAUUUCACUAUUUACUUAUGUAUAUUCUAUGUUGUCCAUUCGUGUCAUAGUCACUAAAUUAUUUUUAUCUUGAGCUACAGAACUCCAAAUUAGGAUCCGCUAAUUUUUCCUAAAACUAGACUCACAUAUCUUAUUACCAUAAAAUUUUCAGAAUUUUCGGUUUAGCCAAUAAGUACAUUUUAUUCUUUAAAGUCACCCCUAUUCUGCUGUCUGACAGUUCUGACUCUUCUCCACUAAAAAUUAAUUAUCUCCUCGUACGGAAUUUGGAUGAUGUUCCCGUUUGUUUCUCUCUAGAGCCUUGGCCCCGAAUGCAUCAAGUAUAUUAAGAUUCCAUCUAAUCCAAGCCCUUGUAGCUAGACCCUCCGAAUUAUGAAUAAAGACCCUAGUACUUGUGUUCGCAUAUUUUUGGAAGUCCACAUCGAAAUUAACUUUAACAAAAGACUAUAAAGGCAGGAACCAACGAACUGGAUUCUGCUCUUCCUAAUGUAGCCCAUAAUAAAGGUAAAAAUCUAUUGAGUAGUUUGGUUCUUACCCUUAUGUACAUAUAAGUUCCUAGAAAACCACAGGGCCUAGAUGGUAAUAAUAAAUAGAAGUUUUAGGUUUGCAGAGCAAUAUUGGAAAAAAUUAUGAACCCAAACUAAGAUGCGAUCAUUGUCCUAAUAAAUUAUCUAGCUAAAUCCCAAUUUGUUUCAAAUUUGUGUAGCCACCUAACAAUAUCUACACACGUGAAACACACGCUUAGGCACCUGCAUGCAUCGAUAGCAAGUCGUAUCUUUUACUAGUCAUUUAAUAUAGAGAUUAUAUCUAGUACGUACAAAAUUAUUCAAAAAUUUCCACAACAUAAUUUUAGUUUUUUUUGGGGGGGCAACCAAAAGCCAUAAUUGGUUGUAAAUGUUCCAAAAGUUCAGACCAAUUCUUACAUAACCAUCCUCCCUAGUCAUAAGGUAACCUCGUAGCAACAAUCUGUACUCGCUACAGACCAUGUAGACACUUAGACCAUACAGUUGAUCAUAUUAGCCAUGCCGUGGAAUGGGAACAUAGAGAAUUAUAUUUGCCUCAUCUACACGAAACAUUGAACAUACCAAGUUUUCAUUUUAGCAUUUCUUGUUAGAAUGAAUAAGAUCAACAACCAAUUUUAUUAAAUCUAACCAGUUGCACCUUGAAGGUAACUUUGCAAGGCAACCAACUAUCAUUUCAUAUAGUAAUACAAUUUCCUAAGCCUACUUUUCAUAUGAUCCCUUUCUCCAGUAUGCCUAUUGCUAACCAAAUACUACACUAGAUAAAGGUUGAUUUCCUAACUCAACUAGUAAAAAAUAUUUAUUCGCAAAAUACUUUGCCUUUAAAACACGAGCAACAGGAGAAUUAUGAUUAUAAAGAAGAAAUCAACCUUGUUUAGCCAGUAAAGCAAUGUUAAAUUUCAUUAAAUCUUGAAACCCCAAACCACCCACCUCUUUUAAAUCACACAAUACAUCUCAUGAACACUAAUGCAUCGCUUUUUACAUGAGAUCUUUGCCACCAAUACAGAUUGAAGAUAUAAUCUACAUUUUUGUAGAAAGAAUUCGAUGAAAGAAAACAUGCCAUAGUAUAAGUAGGAAUACUCUAUAGAAUAGGCUUAAUAGAAACCUCAUUACCCUUUAAAACCGUUUGAAUACUCCAGCUAUUAAUCUUGCUACGAAUACGAUGUUUUAGCACCUGAAAAGUUAGCUUCUUGUUACACUCCACCAUAAUAGGGAGGCCUAAGUACUUAUCAAGAUUAGCAGAAUUUCUAACGCCAAAAGAUUGUAACGGCCCAAAAAUUCUAAUAUGACAAGUGGCAUAAAUUUUAAGCUUGAAUAUCGAGAAAAUUAUGAGAAUUUAUGAAAUGAAUCAUAUAAGAAUUUUAUGAAAGAAAUUUGAUGUUGGAAAUGGAAGCAUGUGAAAAUAAUAGUAAAAGUGAAAAUAUGAUAAAAAUAACCAAAUUGUAAAUUUUAAAAAGUAUGAUGACUAAUGUGCAAAACUAUCUGAAUGUGGAAAAUAUUAAUUAUUGUGGAUUUUUUGGCUAUGAAAUGGAUGAGAUUGUGAUUUGGUGUGAUGAAAAUCACUUUUGGGACUAAAUUGAAUAGUACAAUAACUAAGUUGUAAUUUUCCCAUUUAUGUCGGGAAAAAAGCCAAAGUGAGAUUUUCAUUACUCAUGGAAUUAUAAUAAUUAUGUAUGAUCAAUUAUGAACUUAAAUUGGUCUAAGUAUGGAAUUUUGAGAAGAAUCGCUAAAAAGGGUAAAAAGUGUCAAAUGGAAAUUUUGCUGAAAAGGAUAAUUUAAUCAAUUAUUGAGACUUCAAAGCUGAAAGUAAUAUUUAAAUAUGAUAUUUGGCAUCUGGAAUUUAUUUUGGAUCUUUUGAACCUCGUAUUAAUAGGAAUGGGCUUCAAAUUGGCAUAAAAUGGACUUGAAACAUGUAAACAUGAGCCCAAAACCCAUUUGUUGGUUUCUUAAAGAUGAGAAAGAAACACAUUAGUUCAUUCUCUUCUUCUCUAACGAAAACAACAGAAAAAUAUGGAAAGUUCACUUCCUUUCUUCCAUUUUCUUGCUCAUUUCACCAAUUUCUCUCAAAAUUUUCACUACCCAUCUUAAGAUUUUGAUAAAAUCUCUAUGGAAACUACCUCUUAAACUCAUACUCAUUUCACCAAUUUCACCAAUUUGAGCUUAAGGUUUAUGGAGCUUUUGUGAGGGAAGAUGAAGCUAGAGUGGUUAUAUUUUUGGUUUUCUACAAUGGUAAGAAUAGUUUUCUACACCUUCAUUAAUUGAUAGUUGUUGAGAUAUGAUAUGAAAAAGCUUAGAAUGAAUUUAUAUUAAUUUUUGGUUAUAUUUUUGGUUUAUGGUAAAUGAGGAAAUGGUAGUUAAUGGAUGUUCAAACUUGAUUGAUGGUGGAAUAAAACUUGUGAAGGCUUGAUUUAGUGUUGUAAAGCAUCCAUUGAUGUAAGUAUCAUGGAUACUCUUCUUUCUCCCAAGUUAGUAAGCUUGCAGUUAUGAAUUAAUGUUGCAAUUAAAUGUUUAACAUUGUUAAUAAAAUGUGAAAUUUCAUGGCAUGAUGUGUAUGAUAAAACUCUAAAAUAUGGAAGAGUGGAAAUAUUCUAGGCAUGCUAAUGUAUUAGUGAACAUGUGUGAACCAUGUGACUAAUAUGAAAAGGUUGAAUAAUGUCAUUAUGGCUAAAUUAUGUUAAAAUAUAAAGUCAUUAAUACUGACAAGAAUCGAUAGAAGCUAUAAUAUGGAAAUGGCCAUAACAUGACAAAGGAAAUGGCCAUAACAUGACAAAGGAAAAUUGAACACUGAAAACUUGUAUAAGGCCUAAUUAACAAUGCGAAAUGAAAUUAUAUGUGAAGGCAUUUGGGUGCCUAAAAGUAGUCUGAGCUAUGUAAACUAAAAUGAAAGAAUAUAAGGGAAUGUAAAUCAUGUUUAUAACCAAGAUAAAUAUACACAUAUUAUGAGAAAUGAAACUAACUGCUAAUUUCUAUUUUAAUGGCAUGAGCCGUGUAAAUUUUAUUUAAAGUGUCAAAAGUCACGUGAUCUUUACUAAAUCCUAGUAGAGUGUCAAAUACCAUGAGAAAUUUUUACUAAAACUAAAAAUUAAAUUGAAAUGGAAAAUUGCACUGAAACUAAUAAUAAUUUGAUAAGAAUUCUUCUAAUAAACUGAAUUAAUAAAACAAAGCCCUCGUAGCUUAGUGAGCUAGCUAGGAUGUGAUUGACAUGUCAAUAGAUGACUUCUGUUACUAGUACUUCGUUACUUCUGUUAUUAGUACUUUUAUACUUUUGUUACUAGCACUUUGGUGCUUCUAUUACUGGCACUUUAGUGUGAUUCUGUUAUGGUUUUCGAACACUAAUGCUAUGACGUUUUUGUUAUUACAAUGUGUUGGGUGGUUAGCCCUGAGUAUCCAACAUUUGUCUUUGAGUCAACUCAUGGUGUAAUUAAUUGCAAACUAAUUAAUAAGAUUGACCAUGAACAUAAGAAAAUGAAUAUUAAUAAUAGUACGUAAUAAAAAGCUAAUAAGCUAUAAUAAUUGUAAAUAAUUGAAUAGAAAUAUAAGCUACUAAGAAAGUGGUGUAAAUGAAUGACAUAAUAUAUUGUGGUGUGAUUGAAAGCCUUAAUGCGUUAUUGAGGUGAGUUAAUAAUUGUGCAAGACCUUGGGAUGAAAAAUGAAAUUGAAAUUGAAAGGUAAGAUUCAUAAAUGAAUCAAAUGUCAAAACUAGAAUAUAUGCAUAAUAGGAACAGUCAAUAAAUCAUCAAGCUAUAAGUUGAGGCUUAACUUGCAAAUUCACAUGAAAUGGUUAAAUUAAUAACAAUGUGGCUUAAAUAAACUUAAAAAAAUGAUUCGUCUAAAGAGCUCAAGGUUAUUAAAGACUUAGGAUAAACUUUAAUUAUUCUUGUUACUUAUUAAGCUUUAUAGCUCACCUAUUAGUGGUUUAAAACGCAUAGGUGCAAACUUGCCAAGAAGUUGCUAUGAUAGUUACGAAGCAUCACAUCGCCCGAUGAUCCUAUAAGGUUGUUUUUCAAAUGUUAAAGUGUAAUUUGUAUUAUAUUAGUAGGAUAUAUACUAAGUAUCGUGAUGAAUAUAAAGAUUGUAAUGUGAAUCACAUGUACUUAAGGCAUCAAUGUGUAAUUUCAUAUGUCAAAUAGUACUUGGAACUUGGGUAUGGUGUAGUGGCUGAAGGAUUAAGAAAUUAGUUAAUGUUCAAAAAUGUGUAAAACUGUAAUGGCUUGAGCCGCCUAAACUGCUCCUUAGCAAAAAAAACAACUCCAGUAUCGCCUAAGCGGGAGCUUUGGCAACUUGGGUGGCAACUUAAUGUACUUUUACUCUUUUUUGUUUUACUUAAUUUCUUAUAAAUUCUUUAAGGAUCUAAGUAACUUUUAAAAAAUUAAGUAAAUUCCUAUAUUUUACAAAUUACCUAAUUCUUUUGUUUUAAUUGGCAUUUUAUGAUUUUUGAACUUUGAUUUGAAAGCAUAAAACUCAUUUUAAAUAGAAUUUAAAUAUGUUUACAUAAUUUUAUAAAAAUAUUUUAUCCUAUAACUUUUUAAAAUAGAGUAUUGGUUUUGCUCUAAAAACGUCUUGUUAGCAUCUUGCGUUCAAAUCGACUAUCGCAAGGGAUGUUAUGGUUUGAGUUACCAAAUGUCUAUUAGACGUAUACACUGAAGCAUAUAAGAGAUUUCUCGAAAUUAACAAUUUUUCCCAAAACACUGCUCAUAUUCACUAUUGAUCCCUUUAACCAUAUUGGCUCCCUCAACGUGACUUCACCAAAAAUGAUAUUGUCAUUGAAAAAAGAAAAAGUUGCGUUAUAGUAGGACCAGCCCUACCAACCUUAGCCCCUCUUAGUACACCCUCAUAAUUAGCAAUUCGUAAAAGAGUAGAAAAGCCCUCAUUGCAAAUUAGAAACAAUGAGGGAUUUAAUGGGUGUUGAAGACCUCUAAAUAGGGUAAUUAUACCUCUAACAGACCCAUUAACCACAACAAAAUAUUGAAUUGAAGAAACAAAUUGCAUCGACAAAUUAACCCAUCAAUCCACAAAGCCUAUUUUAAGCAACAUAUCCGCGAUUGUCAUUCAACACAAUCAUAAUCUUUCCUUCUAUCUAGCUUGAGAGCAAAAGACCCCUUUCGCCUCGUGCACCUUUUCUUGAAAGAGUGCAUAAUUUCAUAAGCCAUUACAAUAUUAUUAGAAAUAAGUCUUCUAGGCACAAAAGCAUUUUGAGCCUCUAUAAUGGUGCAAAAGUACUUGAAGCCUACUUACAAUAGCAAUGAAAAUAAUCUUAUAAAUAACAGUACAAAGGUUGAUCAACCUAAAGUGAGACAUAGUCCGAGCAUUAGACUGUUUCGAGAUCAAAAUAAUAUUAGAGUGAUUAAUUUCUAUCAUAGAAGACCCACUAUUUAAAAUGGAUAAACAAUAAUUCACAAUAUCAAAACUAAUAAUAUGUCAAUAAUUAGAAUAUUGGCAAUUUAUUGAACCAAAAUUUAGGAUUUUGAUGAUUCAAGCUAUUAAUGAAGAUCAAAUCACUUGAGAAACAUAUCCUAAGGAUCGGAUCGUUUAUAUAAAAUUCUUUGGAUUAAAGGAAGUUGGAUUGAACCAAAACUUAAAGAUUUAUUUACCAACCAUCUUUUUUUUUAGUUGUUAAUAUAAUAUUGUAUUUAGUUAUUUUAACAAUUGUUUAGAAGGAAUUACGAUUGACCUUUAAUAUCUUGACAAAUCUAAAGAAUCUUUAUAUAUUUAAUAGACUUAUAUAGGUAGUUAUACUAAUUAUUAGGAGCAGUUAUCUAUUUAGUAAGUAAUGAUAUUUGUAAGAAUGCAUUUCGACAAUAAAACUUUUUUAUGAUUGAUUUUAGUGGUGAAAGAUCUAAUCUUUGAAGUAUAAAAGAGAAUUCUUCACUAAGAUAUAUUAGAGCUAGGAUUGUUGGUUGUAUUGAUUUCAAAUAUGGUAGAUUCAUCUUAUCAAGUUAAGCUCAGUUGACAUAUAGAAACCAAAUUAAGUAAACAAUUUAUUGACCCCUAUUUUCACCGCGGUUUACGCAAUUAUUGCAUCAAUAUCUACUUUCACCAUCACUUUUGCUCAUAAUAUGUUCUUACAGUUCAGCAGCUGGUUUAGGUCAACAAAGACAAAGAUGUUUUGAUAGUACAAUGCACAUUCAAACUUUAGACAAAUCAAUACAUAUGUUCAACAUAAAAAGUUGCAGCAACAAUAGAAACAUUGGGGGAAGCACAAUCACGAUAAUAUGAUAAAAAUAAGACGACAUAAAUGGCCAACUAAUGCUCUGCUUGAGCUGUGGAGUUUUAUGGAGAAGAUUUCCAAACUGCCUCUGAAGAAGGAUUUUCAGAAAGUUGAAAUCCUAAAUUAACAAGGAAAAUUAAUCAAGAAUGAGCAGGACAUGAUCCUUUGCCAAUCAGAUGGGAGAAUUAAGAUAUAAAGAAGAUGAAAACCAAUAUAAUAAAUGCAAAAACUUGAUUUUUUACCUGUAGCGUGGCCAUGGAGUAAAAGAUCACCAUCAUUCUCAUGACCAUUUGCAGCAUCAAACAUGAAGGACGCUUCAGGAUUUGCCUCCAAGGAGGAACCAGUAGGAAGAAGUCCUACAUUUUUAACCCCAAAAAUAAAAAAAUAAGUAACCAUAGGGGUAAAUUUUACUAAUAAAGAAGCUUUUUUUUGGGGUACUGUUAAGCUUUCAUUACAUUUUAAGUUGGGAGGAGGCGAGAAAGAAUAGCACUAUAUACAUAUUCGAAUCAUGGACAUCAUGGCAACAGAACUUAAAACUACACAACUUAUUUGCCACUAGACCAGUGGAGAUCAUGCCAGUAGAACUUAAACCCCCACAAGUUAUUUACCACUGGACUAUUAGCUGUGAUAAAAACAUGUGGCAAUUGGAGAGAAGAAUUAAAAAAAAAUACAAUAAACAAGAUAAACUAAUAUGAUGAAUGCAAAAAAAGAAAAAGAAAAAGAAAAAAACUCAAUGUAUUACCAGCACCAACGACAUUGUUGAAAAUGUUAUCAUGAUUGUUCGUAGCACCAUACUCAGGCAAGUUAUAAUUUGCAGUAGCAGAAUUAGUCCAGUCUCCUAAAUUAACAAGAAAGUUAAUUCAGGAAGCCGUGAGAAAGACCUUGAAAUUAAGAGUUAAAUUAACCAGCAUAAAACCAAAAAUUUUAAUGCCGAAAAGACAUGAAAAUCCUUCGCACAAAUUGGGGGGGGAAAAGACACAAACCAAAAAUAUAUAAUGAUGAGUACAAAAACCUGCUUUAUUACCCUGACUAUUAGGGGCAUCAGACCCAAAGGGCAAGUUAUGAUUUGCAAAACCAGCAGCAGCAGCAGCAGCAGCAGAUGCCGUAAUGUUGUAGUCCUGGUCUGCAAACAUGUUAAAAAAGUCUAUCAAUACAACACCAAGCAAUUUAAUCAAGUUGUGGCUCGUGACUUAUAUAAUUACCAAAGCAUGUUUGCUGAAGAAAAUCAGCCAUGGAAGGAUGAAAGUAUGUUGACCCUGUCUCUCCCGAACUCACUAAUCCAUUAACACUUUGUAAAACAGCUCCCGAAGUUGCUAAAACUUGACCACCUUGCACAUUGGUCUGCAAUGCAAACCAUUCUACCACCUGCAAUGUAGAAUUCAAUUCAACACUCAAUGGAAUAUCAGAAACUCAAAUAUUCAAUAUACAGCAUAAUCGGCAUACCUUUUCCAAAGAAGUAAGCAUUUGCCCCUGCAAUUGAAGAGAGAUGAAUUAUAAACUUUAUCUAACAUAAGAGAAUACUACCUCAACCAAAAAAAUGGUGAGAACAAACCCUCCCCAACAUGAAAAGAGACGACAAUACCUAUUUCGGUACAAAAAGAGCAUCCGAAAAGCUGUAACACAUUUCCAAUUCAGCUGGACGAAGAGAAACCGUCCAUGAAAUUACAAUAAUUAUUACAGUCAAUGCAUUCGACUAUAGAUACAAACAUGAUCAAUUAUUACAAUGAAUUAUCUGACUGAUAACUAAUAACUAAUAUAUAUAUGUAUGUAUGAACAAAUCCACAAAAUAAAUUAGAAUAAAUAUAGAGAAAACUAGAUCCAAUGACACUUAAACAAGGGAUCUAAAAAUUACCCUAAUUUCCUUUCUACUACUAAGUUAUGGCCUUAUCAUAAAAAAGAAAUAAAUAGUGAUAAAUCUUUGAAUAAAAGAUACAUAAACUUAACCAAAUGUUAAGUACUAACUACUAAGUAAAAAUGGCAAUAAACAUAAAUUAUAAAAAUUUACAAGAAACAGUUUUCUGAACAAGUAUUUUUUUUUAAAAACAAAGAUUUAUAUAAUACAAAUUUCCGUACAUCAACUUUCCAUCCAGUGGGAUUCCCCUGAAUUGUUCCUCGUUUGCUGUCUAUAAAAAAGCAAUUAUGAUUUCACAAAAUAAGAUUAAAAAACAGUCAUAUAAAUGGGUAUUCUAGGAGAUUUCAAGGUUUUCCAUGUGAUUCAAACAAAUUUAUGAUAGUUUAAGCUAAUUAUUAUUGAAAUGAAACUAAAAGGAGAGAGGAAUGGGAGUGCAGAACCUGUGCCUCAAGCUUUCUCUUAAGUUGUUGGAUCUCAUUUCCCAUAACCCCAAUUUUAGACUUGUAUUCCUCUAGCUCCAUUUUCGUCUUCUGGUGUUCAUCCUUCAACUUUGGGAUCUCUUGUUCCUCCUCCUUACGCCUCAUCUUUAGUUAUAAAAUCACCAAAGCAAAAAUUAAUCAAUUAAUUAAUUAAAGACAUAAAUAAACGAAGGGGAAAAGUUGACGAUCACUGUACUUUAAUUUUCAGUCGAUAUCGUUUACAGUUCUCGUUAUGUUUAUCCUUCUGAGCUCGCGUUUUCAGAGAUUUGGUACCCCUUCGUUUGGCUUGGAUUCCGGUCUCAGCCUCCACUGCCGCUUCAGCGCCGCCCGUACCCCCCAUUUCUUGAGGCGGCUGCUGCUUUCUUUUCACCAUCAAACUAGAUUACAAGAAUAAAGCUGCCUCUCUACUUGAUUACCCGGAAUUUGUACUACACACUACUUUCGAUUCCAAACAAUUGAUUGAAUCUUUCAAAAAACUUGCAUAGGGAAUGGAUCAAAGAUUCAAAAAAACAAACGACGACUUCAAGUCAACGCCUCUAGAUAAGAACAAAACGAAGAAAAAGUGAUGAAACGGUGAGAACCGUCCAUUUCUGAUAAACCUCCGAAAGGCUAAAUCGGCAGUGAAGAAAAGAAACUCAUCAUCUCAAAUUUUGAAGAGAAAUAGUCUCUUCAGUCGAGUUAUAUAAAGAUAGCAGAGCAAGGUGCAAAGUUAGAGUUCUGUUUUGAUAUAAUUGUACUCAGUCCCUAUACUCUUUGCUCAUUUAAAAUUUAAUGUCUUUACUUUUAAUAUUAAGAAUUUAAUCCUUUUAUUUUUUGUUUAAUAAUAUGUUUUUUGAAGUUACAUGUAAGAUACAACAGUUCCAAUCAAAACAUAUGGCAGAAAUUCGAAUCUAAGCAUUCAAAUUUUCAAAGUCUCGACUUUACCAAUACAACCAACGUUUUAUUAGAUCAUGUGUCGUGUCAUUAAUUGAACUUUGAUUAUUAAAUUAAAAGAAUAGAAAAACUAAACUUCUAAAAUUAAAAAGUAAAAAUACUAAAAUUUAAAUAUACAAAAAUACAGGGACUAAAAAUAGAAUUAAACCUUUUUUUCUCAACUUUUUCAUCUGCUCGCGCGAAAAUUUCUCUCGAUACCGUUUUCCUAAUUUCUUUUUAAAAAUCUACUUUUAGAUUUAGAAUAUAUCAUAAAAUUGGUAUCACCAUGCAAUCCGACAUCAAAUUCGAUUCUUUUAUAUAAAAUUAACUUUUAUUACUUGAAGCUAGUCUAAUUUUUUAUUUAACAAAUAUAAAAAUAUACAUAUAGUAGAACUUAAAUUUUUGUUUGAUAAUUAGAUUAGUAAAACUUUAAAUUUUUUUAUUCAAUUAAAGUUUUAUUUUAAUAUUUAUACAUUUUAAUUUUAAUAUGUACAUUUUAUUAACUCCAUUAAUUAUAUUUACACUAUUAUUUAAGUUUAUGAUCGAGUUGGUGUCACAAAUCAACCGAACACCAACUCAGUUAGAGAAUUUACUCUGAUGUCUUUCUAUAUUUAAAAUAAAUUUUAUUAUUCGAGAAUACUUUAUUUUUUUAUUUUUCUAAAAAAAUCAAUAAAAAUUUACAUAUAAUAAAAUUUAAACUCAUGACAAUUGAAUUAAUAAAACUUUAAUAUUUAUUAAAAUUAAAAAUAAUAGCAUAAAAUAGUAUAUAUAUUAACUGAAAUGAUUAAGUUAGUAUCACCUUUAAAUUAGAUUCCAACCCAAUUAAAAAAUUAUCAAAAACUCGUUUAUUUUAUAAAAUAAAAAACAUUAUUUUAAUAACAUUUAUGUCAUUUUGUAUUUUGAUAAAUCUAAAAAUAUUAUAUAUAUAUAUAUAUAAAUAUAGACAUGAGGAGAUUAUGAAAUGUGAAUAGAUGACAUCAUAAGUUUCACAUUUAAUUUUUAAAAUAAUUUUUUUUAUAAAUUUCUUAGGUGAAUAUUUUCACUCAACUCUUGAAUUAAAAUAAUAGCACAUUCCAAUCAAUAUUCUUUUGAAUAUUAUAAUAAUAAAAAUAUUAAUUAAAUUAAAACUCAAUUUUUUUUAAAUUACUACAAGAAUAGCGACAUCGCUAAUAUUUACUUAGCAAAUCAAAAUAAUUAUUUUAAAUUUAAAUUAUGGCAUUUAAAAAUGAAUUCAUUAACUAAUUUAAUAAAUUCAGUUUAUGCAUAAAAAUAGAAAAUAGAAAAUAUAUUUAAAGUGUUAUUGAGUUUCAUUAAAAUUUGUGAGGUCCAAAUAGAUUUGAAUUGAACAUGACUAUUCAUCACCGUUUUGUCUUAUCUAUGAUAUUUUUAUUAAUUUAACCUUCAAAUUACACAUUAUCGCAUGAUACAUCAUUUAUUUUUGUGGUCUUACAUUACCUAAACAAACUUCAAUAAAUAUUUUAAAUUCUACAUUUUUUAUUUUCUUAAAUGAUUUUAUUUGCCUGUGGGACUGUGCUAUAAUUUUGGGUGAAAUUUAUGAUUUUGUUUGACUUUAUUUUCAAAUUUUUCUAUAUUCAAAUUUAAGAAAUUAAAUUUUGGUUGCUUUCCUUUUAUAAUUGAAUUUUUUUAGCCUUCCAACUUUAUAAAAAAAAUUUACUUUAACUCUACAUUUAAUUUUUCCUUUUUUUAACUUUUGAGCUUAUAUUUUUUGUCAAAUCAUUUUAAAAUGAGUAAAAAAGUUAAUGUUUACUAACUUUGAUGACAUGAUAUAUGUAGAUUACCACAUAAAUGACCCGUCAACAUUUAAUUAAUUUUUAAAAAUAUUUUUGUUUAUAGUUUUUAUUAAUUUUUUAUUUUUUUAAAUAGUUGUUAUAAUUUUAAAAUUUUUAAAUUUAAAAAAUAAUUAAAUACUGACGUUUCAUACAUGUGGAUGUCAUGUCAGCAAGGUUAAAAAAACAUUAACAUUUCUUUUCAUUUAGAGGUAAUUUAACAAAAAAACUCAAGUUUAAAGGUUAAAAAGGUAAAAAUAAAUAAAUGAAAGGAUUUUUUUUUUAAGUUGGAGGACCAAAUAAAUCAUUAUAUAUUUAAAAUUUAAUUUGAAUUUUUACAAACUAAAUACUUUAGUUUUUUAUGUAAUAUUUAGUUUAUCCUUUUAAUUUUUUUGUUCGAAUAUUCAAUUUUUUUCUCUCUUGACUCUGAUUUUUUAAUCAUUUUAUUUUUUAAUAAUAAAAAUAUAUAAAACAUUAAUAAUUAAAAAAAUAUGAGACAAAUAAAAAAUUUAUAGUUUUUUUUAGUAGAAAUGACUGAUAUUUAUUAAGCACACGACUCAAGGUGGGUAGGCAAAAGUUUACAGCAAAAUACAAAAUGAAAAGACAACACAGCAGCAGGCCAAACGGCCAAAAACAACUAAAAACCGCACACUGGAAAAACAAAACCAUAAAUGCAAGUGAUCCAAAACCACCCUAAACCAAAACCAAGACAGUUCACAAUCAGAAUACCAGCCGAAACAACUUUCUCCUCCUACGUAAAAAGACGAUCUAGAGAUGAGUAAAAGGAAACCCAAAAGCUUUGAGUCCAGCCAUGGAGAUUCAGAGAACCUUCUCCACAAUUAAAGCAAUCUACAAUGAACUUUGGUGUCUCUGUGUCCAAACCAUCCAAUCAUUUUCCACUAUCAUCUUUACUGAAACCGGAACCCCGUCAACCCAAAUACUAGAACUUUGUCUUCUCCUUCCUUCGAUUGCCAAAGUAUGGGCUGCUCUAUUGACCAGUCGGGGAACAAAAAGGUAACUAACUUCUUCAAAGCAAUUUUCCAAAUUACGAAUAUGAUGAAUAAUAGAUCUAAGAAUCGAUUUAUCUUCUUCCUUUAUCUUAAGUUUUUUUUAUGACCGUUAGAGAAUCCCUUUCCACAACCAAGCACCGGAAACCCAUUCUAAAAGCAAAGAGCAAAGCCCUUUCACAUGCCCUUGCUUCAGCCACGAACGCGUCGACAACGUCCUCAAAUAGAUAAGUUUCUGCUCCUACAAUUUCUCCUUUAGAACCUCUAGCCAAAAUUGUUGUUGUAAAAGUUCUAGAGUCACUUUGAAAGGUUGUGUUAAAAUUUAAUUUGAUAAAACCCAAAUCUGGAGGACUCCAAAAUUCUUUCGGAAGAGAUCUACAAGAAACUCCCAGCUUCUCUUGGCAUAGACUUAUUUCUUGACCAUAGCCUCGAAUGAAACCUAACAGAUCCUGCAAAGAAAAUUUAACACCUUCAUGAAUCAACUUAUUUCUUCUGUACCAUAGAGCCCAUAGGAAAAUUGCAAUAAGUUUAUUCUGUUCAUCUGCUACAAAGAAAGUAUUAACAAAAUGAUUUUUGCAGUUUAAAGUGCUAUCCAUUGGAGCAAUUCUGAUUUGAAGGGACGCCCAGACACUCUGUAGUAUACCAUAGGACCACAGAAGAUGAAUAGUAUCUUCUGGAGCUUCCUUACAAAGAUGACAAUCAACUUCAUCUGUAACGCCCCUAACCCGAAUUCGUCCCCGGAAUAGAGUUACGGAGUAUUACCGGAGUUACCGAUUUAUUUAUUAGAUAUUUUAUUUCAUCUAACGUUCAUAUUUGGAACAAAUUAAAAUCAAUCAUAUUGUGCCUUAAACAUAUUUAUUUUUCUCGACAUGUUUUACUUGAAUUUAUUACUUUUCUCAAUAUACUUAAUUUCCUUGUAUCAACGUAUCAAAAAUAAUCACAUAUUGACAUAUUAUGAUAAAUAUCAUUCUUUAGUCAUUUCUUCAAAAACAUAAAUAAGGUAAUUCAUUAUAUUGAUAUUUCAUGCAUUUAAAAAUAAAAUUAUUACAAUUUAAUCCUUAUUUCCAG
rnacentral:lncRNA from 1 species